GCCAGGUGUGGUGGCGGACACCUGUAGUCCCAGCUACUCAGGAGGCUGAGGCAGGAGGAUCUCUUGAGCCCAGGAGGUCAAGGUUGCAGUGAGCUGUGAUGCCACUACAUUCCAGCCUGGGCGACAGAGUGAGACCCUAUCUCCA
ensembl:misc_RNA Metazoa_SRP Metazoan signal recognition particle RNA